UUUGCCCUGCUGUGUUCGACCAAAGGGUGGAAAUCCCGAUCCGGUAAUUAACAUAUGCUCAGGAGGCCGGGGUGGGCGAGUUUAGGUCAUGCCUUUUUAGGAAGACCGAAGCCCGUCCCAGGUCAUCCGCCCGUUAACCUUAGGGGGAACGUGGAACUCCGUCUCGACGGCAUGAGUGGGGCAUCC
rnacentral:other from 1 species